AUGGUGGUUUUGUCUCCAUUUCUUCUUAGGACCUCCAAGAUCUUCACCAUGUUCUGGCUUCCUCUCGUUGGCUCCUUAGUGAUGUGGUGCACAGGUUCAAACUCUGAGCCAGUGCUGUCUCAACCACCAUCAGCCUCAGCGGCACCGGGGAACACAGCAAAACUCUCCUGUACCAUGAGCAGUGUAGCCACCAUCAGUAACCGAUAUGUCUCCUGGUACCAGCAGAAGCCUGAGACUUCCCCACGAUAUCUCUUGAGGUAUUAUUCAGAUUCCAGCAAGGACCAAGGCGCUGGGGUCCCCGCUCGUUUCUCUGGUUCCAAAGAUAACUCCAGGAACAUGGCCUAUCUGACCAUCAAUGGACUCCUGGCAGAAGACGAGGCUGUUUAUUACUGUUCAUCAUAUCACGGCAGUGGCAGCACAACUCAGUUUGCACAGUGA